GACGAACGCUGGCGGCGUGCUUAAUACAUGCAAGUCGAGCGAAGAUUUUCUGGUGCUUGCACUUGCUAAACUUAGCGACGAAUGGGUGAGUAACAAGUAACGAACCUUCCUCAUAGACAUGGCCUACUGUAGGAAACGAUAGCUCAUACCGGAUAACAGUACUUCUUGCAUGAGAGAGAUUUAAAUGUUGGUUAGGCUAAGAAUAUGAGGUGGCUUUGCGGUGCAUUAGCUAGGUGGGCGGGUAAUGACCUACCAAGUCGACGAUGCAUAGCCGACCGGUGAGACUGAUCGGCCACACUGGAACGUGAACGCGGCCCAUGCGCCUACGGGAGGCAGCAGUCGGGAACGGUCCGCAAUAGGCGAAAACCUGACGGAGCAACGGCACGUGAGUGAAGAAGGAUUUCGGUGCGUAAAGCUCUGUUGUGAGGGAAGAAUGGAUUUGUAGUAAGUCUACAUGUAAGUGACGGCACCGAACCAGAAAGCCACGGCUAACUACGUG
rnacentral:rRNA from 1 species